AUUGAACGCUGGCGGCAUGAUUUACACAUGCAAGUCGAACGGUAACAGGCCGCAAGGUGCUGACGAGUGGCGAACGGGUGAGUAAUGCAUCGGAACGUGCCCAGGCGUGGGGGAUAACUACUCGAAAGAGUAGCUAAUACCGCAUACGAUCUAUGGAUGAAAGCGGGGGACCGUAAGGCCUCGCGCGAUUGGAGCGGCCGAUGUCAGAUUAGGUAGUUGGUGGGGUAAAGGCUCACCAAGCCAACGAUCUGUAGCUGGUCUGAGAGGACGACCAGCCACACUGGGACUGAGACACGGCCCAGACUCCUACGGGAGGCAGCAGUGGGGAAUUUUGGACAAUGGGCGCAAGCCUGAUCCAGCAAUGCCGCGUGCAGGAAGAAGGCCUUCGGGUUGUAAACUGCUUUUGUACGGAACGAAACGGCUCUGGUUAAUACCCGGGGCUAAUGACGGUACCGUAAGAAUAAGCACCGGCUAACUACGU
rnacentral:rRNA from 1 species